UACGUAGGUGGCAAGCGUUGUCCGGAAUUAUUGGGCGUAAAGCGCGCGCAGGCGGUUCCUUAAGUCUGAUGUGAAAGCCCACGGCUCAACCGUGGAGGGUCAUUGGAAACGGGGGGACUUGAGUACAGAAGAGGAAAGCGGAAUUCCACGUGUAGCGGUGAAAUGCGUAGAGAUGUGGAGGAACACCAGUGGCGAAGGCGGUUUUCUGGUCUGUAACUGACGCUGAGGCGCGAAAGCGUGGGGAGCAAACAGG
rnacentral:rRNA from 1 species